rnacentral:rRNA from 1 species
UGGGGAAUUUUGGACAAUGGGCGCAAGCCUGAUCCAGCCAUGCCGCGUGCAGGAUGAAGGCCUUCGGGUUGUAAACUGCUUUUGUACGGAACGAAAAGGUGCCUUCUAAUAAAGGCCGCUCAUGACGGUACCGUAAGAAUAAGCACCGGCUAACUACGUGCCAGCAGCCGCGGUAAUACGUAGGGUGCGAGCGUUAAUCGGAAUUACUGGGCGUAAAGCGUGCGCAGGCGGUUUUGUAAGACAGAGGUGAAAUCCCCGGGCUCAACCUGGGAACUGGCUUUGUGACUGCAAGGCUGGAGUGCGGCAGAGGGGGAUGGAAUUCCGCGUGUAGCAGUGAAAUGCGUAGAGAUGUGGAGGAACACCGAUGGCGAAGGCAGCCCCCUGGGCCUGUACUGACGCUCAUGCACGAAAGCGUGGGGAGCAAACA